UCGAGAUGAGUCUUCCCUGACCCUUUAAGGGUCCUGAAGGAACGUUUGAGACUAAGACGUUGAUAGGCUGGGUGUGUAAGCGCAGCGAUGCGUUGAGCUGACCAGUACUAAUGAACCGUGAGGCUUAACCUGACAACACCGAAGGUGUUU
rnacentral:rRNA from 1 species